UGGAAGCUUUAUGGUGCAACCCUUCUCCUC
rnacentral:piRNA from 1 species